rnacentral:rRNA from 1 species
CAAUAAGCGGAGGAAAAGAAACCAACAGGGAUUGCCCCAGUAACGGCGAGUGAAGCGGCAACAGCUCAAAUUUGAAAUCUGGCUCUCGGGCCCGAGUUGUAAUUUGAAGAGGAUGUUUCUGGCAAGGUACCUUCUGAGUUCUCUGGAACGGGACGCCAUAGAGGGUGAGAGCCCCGUCUAGUUGGUCGCCGCGCCUCUGUGAAACUCCUUCGACGAGUCGAGUAGUUUGGGAAUGCUGCUCAAAAUGGGAGGUAUACGUCUUCUAAAGCUAAAUACCGGCCAGAGACCGAUAGCGCACAAGUAGAGUGAUCGAAAGAUGAAAAGCACUUUGAAAAGAGGGUUAAAUAGUACGUGAAAUUGUUGAAAGGGAAGCGCUCAUGACCAGACUUGGGCCGGUUGAUCAUCCAUCGUUCUCGGUGGUGCACUCUGCCGGUCCAGGCCAGCAUCAGUUUGCCCUGGGGGAUAAAGGCUUCGGGAAUGUGGCUCCCUAGGGAGUGUUAUAGCCCGUUGCGUAAUACCCUGUGGCAGACUGAGGUCCGCGCUCUGCAAGGAUGCUGGCGUAAUGGUCAUCAGCGACCCGUCUUGAAACACGGACCAAGGAGUCGUCUUCGUAUGCGAGUGUUCGGGUGUCAAACCCCUACGCGUAAUGAAAGUGAACGUAGGAGAGAGCUUCGGCGCAUCUCCGACCGAUCCUGAUGUUCUCGGAUGGAUUUGAGUAAGAGCAUACGGGGCCGGACCCGAAAGAAGGUGAACUAUGCCUGUAUAGGGUGAAGCCAGAGGAAACUCUGGUGGAGGCUCGCAGCGGUUCUGACGUGCAAAUCGAUCGUCAAAUAUGGGCAUGGGGGCGAAAGACUAAUCGAACCUUCUAGUAGCUGGGUUUCCGCCGAAGUUUCCCUCAGGAUAGCAGUGUUGAACUCAGUUUUAUGAGGUAAAGCGAAUGAUUAGGGACUCGGGGGCGCUAUAUUGCCUUCAUCCAUUCUCAAACUUUAAAUAUGUAAGA